rnacentral:tRNA from 1 species
GGAGGGAUGCCCGAGUGGCUAAAGGGGGCGGACUGUAAAUCCGUUGUCGAAGACUACGCUGGUUCGAAUCCAGCUCCCUCCA